rnacentral:rRNA from 1 species
CCUACGGGGUGCAGCAGUGGGGAAUCUUGCGCAAUGGGCGAAAGCCUGACGCAGCGACGCCGCGUGGGGGAAGAAGGCCUUAGGGUUGUAAACCUCUUUCAGUAGGGACGAAGCCACUCGGGUUAAUAGCCCAGAGGGUGACGGUACCUACAGAAGAAGCCCCGGCUAACUACGUGCCAGCAGCCGCGGUAGUACGUAGGGGGCAAGCGUUGUCCGGAUUUAUUGGGCGUAAAGAGCGUGUAGGCGGCCAGAUAGGUCCGUUGUGAAAACUGGAGGCUUAACCUUCAGACGUCGAUGGAAACCAUCUGGCUAGAGUCCGGAAGAGGAGAAUGGAAUUCCUGGUGUAGCGGUGAAAUGCGCAGAUAUCAGGAAGAACACCCGUGGCGAAGGCGGUUCUCUGGGACGGUACUGACGCUGAGACGCGAAAGCGUGGGGAGCGAACAGGAUUAGAUACCCUAGUAGUC